CCAAUAGCGUAUAUUAAAGUUGUUGCAGUUAAAAAGCUCGUAGUUGAAUUUCGGGGUCAGUAGGUUGGUCGUGCCACCGGUACGUACUGGUCUCACUGAUUCCUCCUUCCUGAUGAGCUGUAAUGCCAUUAAUUUGGUGUUGCAGGGAAUCUGGACUGUUACUUUGAAAAAAUUAGAGUGUUUAAAGCAGGCUAACGCUUGAAUACAUUAGCAUGGAAUAAUGAAAUAGGACGUUCGAUCCUAUUUUGUUGGUUUCUAGGAUUGACGUAAUGAUUAAUAGGGAUAGUUGGGGGCAUUAGUAUUCAAUUGUCAGAGGUGAAAUUCUUGGAUUUAUUGAAGACUAACUACUGCGAAAGCAUUUGCCAAGGAUAUUUUCAUUAAUCAAGAACGAAAGUUAGGGGAUCGAAGACGAUCAGAUACCGUCGUAGUCUUAACUAUAAACUAUGCCGACUAGGGAUCGGAUGAUGUUAAUUUUUUAAUGACUCAUUCGGCGCCUUACG
rnacentral:misc_RNA from 1 species